rnacentral:rRNA from 1 species
AGUAACGGCGAGUGAAGCGGCAACAGCUCAAAUUUGAAAUCUGGCCCCCCGGGUCCGAGUUGUAAUUUGCAGAGGAUGCUUUUGGCGCGGUGCCUUCCGAGUUCCCUGGAACGGGACGCCAUAGAGGGUGAGAGCCCCGUACGGUUGGACACCAAGCCUAUGUAAAGCUCCUUCGACGAGUCGAGUAGUUUGGGAAUGCUGCUCAAAAUGGGAGGUAUAUUUCUUCUAAAGCUAAAUACCGGCCAGAGACCGAUAGCGCACAAGUAGAGUGAUCGAAAGAUGAAAAGCACUUUGAAAAGAGGGUUAAACAGCACGUGAAAUUGUUAAAAGGGAAGCGCUUGUGACCAGACUUGCGUCCGGUGAAUCACCCAGCUCUCGCGGCUGGGGCACUUUGCCGGCUCAGGCCAGCAUCAGCUUGCCGUCGGGGACAAAAGCUUCGGGAACGUAGCUCUCUUCGGGGAGUGUUAUAGCCCGUUGCACAAUACCCUUCGGCGGGCUGAGGUACGCGCUCCGCAAGGAUGCUGGCGUAAUGGUCAUCAGCGACCCGUCUUGAAACACGGACCAAGGAGUCAACCUUAUGUGCGAGUGUUCGGGUGUCAAACCCCUACGCGUAAUGAAAGUGAACGCAGGUGAGAGCUUCGGCGCAUCAUCGACCGAUCCUGAUGUUCUCGGAUGGAUUUGAGUAAGAGCAUAUAGGGUUGGACCCGAAAGAAGGUGAACUAUGCGUGUAUAGGGUGAAGCCAGAGGAAACUCUGGUGGAGGCUCGCAGCGGUUCUGACGUGCAAAUCGAUCGUCAAAUAUGCGCAUGGGGGCG